CACUGGGGCUAUUCAUUAACCAUUUAACAGAUCUGCGGAAACUUCCAUAUACGCUAUACGUCGACCUCCCAGAUAUCUCGUCGAGAUGCAGGCACCAACACUUAUCAUCUUGCUGAUUGUUCUGGGUUUAACCCAGGGUGGUAUCUUAUCAGAGGUCACAAGGUUGGCGCCACCGUGUCCUGCUGUGUCUACCCCGGCCUGGCCAAUCAACUGUAAAAACGUCAAGAUCCGAACAUUUCAGUGGUUUGGACGUACGUGCCAGGGUGACCCAUACUGCGCGGAUUGAAGUGUCUCGAUGCUACACCUUCGGCACACGAACUGGAGACAGCAGGUCAUUUGCAUGGAUAUUAAGAGGGAAUUGUAUUGAGUUUGAACAGAUUUUGCUAAAACCAAUAAAGGUGAAAAGAUAUUUUGAAAACUGUUUUAUCUUGCUAUUAAUAAGUCUGCGCAUCGUGUAACCUGUUUGAAAUGACCGAUGAUGGAUUGAUUGAUUGAUUGAUUGUUGUUUAAUGGUAUGCUCAUAAGAUUAUUAGACAGCCGUCAGUUUAAUAGGUGAAGGAAAUCUAUGUGCCCUUGGAAAACUGUACUGGUCAUUAUAUCAUUUGAAGACUUCGCUGACUAUUAGACAAUUGGAAAAUUAUACUGGUUAUUAAAUAAUUGGAAAACU